UUGAACGCUGGCGGAAUGCUUUACACAUGCAAGUCGAGCGGCAGCGCGGGGGCAACCCUGGCGGCGAGCGGCGAACGGGUGAGUAAUGUAUUGGAACGUACCCUGUCGUGGGGGAUAACACAGCGAAAGCUGUGCUAAUACCGCAUACGACCUGAGGGUGAAAGCGGGGGAUCGCAAGACCUCGCGCGCUAGGCGCGGCCGAUAUCGGCUUAGCUAGUUGGUGAGGUAAAGGCUCACCAAGGCGACGAUCCGUAGCUGGUCUGAGAGGACGACCAGCCACACUGGAACUGAGACACGGGCCAGACUCCUACGGGAGGCAGCAGUGGGGAAUUUUGGACAAUGGGGGCAACCCUGAUCCAGCCAUUCCGCGUGAGUGAAGAAGGCCUUCGGGUUGUAAAGCUCUUUCAGCAGGAACGAAACGGUGGUCCCUAAUACGGGCUACGAAUGACGGUACCUGAAGAAGAAGCACCGGCUAACUACGU
rnacentral:rRNA from 1 species